rnacentral:lncRNA from 1 species
GGUAUGAAAGAUUGGAACUACGCGGAACUCCAAAUUCAUAGUUGGUUCUCACCAUUAAACAUUUGCUGAUUUCUGGGGACAGAUAGGAAUUCUAAUAGGCAUAGCUGGCAAAGUGAAGGGAAGUCUCCCACAGUCUCAUAUUACUUGAAAAACAAAGUUCCAUUAAAAAGAAGAAGAUGGCUGUCAACAAAUUAGUAAUAGGCAAAUGGUGGAUAGGAAGCAGGACUAAAUUGCAGCUCCCACUCAGACAGAGAGUAGCUUGUGGAGACUCACAUUGUGAACUUUUGCUCCCAGAACUACUGCAGGAACAUAUGAGGAAAGAUGAGAGAAUCCACAGACUCUUUGAAGGAAGCAGAUUGCUCCUGCAGGGCCUGGGAGACAACCAAACACUGGGUCCUUAGGGAGAGGUGCCAGAGGAAUUGGAAAAAGGCCACAGGCAGAAGGAAGGCUCCAGCUAAACUUGAUUGACCCAUCAUUUGGAUGACCCGAAACCACAGAUGCAAUAGAAGAAUGGAACAAAUUUGUACAUUUUGUCAAUAAAAACUUUAUCUUCA